rnacentral:rRNA from 1 species
ACAUCCAGAGAACUUAGCAGAGAUGCUUUUGGUGCCUUCGGGAACUCUGAGACAGGUGCUGCAUGGCUGUCGUCAGCUCGUGUUGUGAAAUGUUGGGUUAAGUCCCGNAACGAGCGCAACCCUUAUCCUUUGUUGCCAGCGGUUCGGCCGGGAACUCAAAGGAGACUGCCGGUGAUAAACCGGAGGAAGGUGGGGAUGACGUCAAGUCAUCAUGGCCCUUACGGCCAGGGCUACACACGUGCUACAAUGGCGCAUACAAAGAGAAGCGACCUCGCGAGAGCAAGCGGACCUCAUAAAGUGCGUCGUAGUCCGGAUUGGAGUCUGCAACUCGACUCCAUGAAGUCGGAAUCGCUAGUAAUCGUAGAUCAGAAUGCUACGGUGAAUACGUUCCCGGGCCUUGUACACACCGCCCGUCACACCAUGGGAGUGGGUUGCAAAAGAAGUAGGUAGCUUAACCUUCGGGAGGGCGCUUACCACUUUGUGAUUCAUGACUGGGGUGAAGUCGUAACAAGGUAAGCGUAGCGAG